UGUAUCCUACGGGGGGCAGCAGUAGGGAAUCUUCCACAAUGGACGAAAGUCUGAUGGAGCAACGCCGCGUGAGUGAAGAAGUAUUUCGGUAUGUAAAGCUCUAUCAGCAGGGAAGAGAAUGACGGUACCUGACUAAGAAGCCCCGGCUAACUACGUGCCAGCAGCCGCGGUAAUACGUAGGGGGCAAGCGUUAUCCGGAUUUACUGGGUGUAAAGGGAGCGUAGACGGCUGUACAAGUCUGAAGUGAAAGCCCGUGGCUCAACCGCGGAACUGCUUUGGAAACUGUAAAGCUGGAGUACUGGAGG
rnacentral:rRNA from 1 species